rnacentral:rRNA from 1 species
CAGCCGCCGCGGGAAUACAGAGGGUGCGAGCGUUAAUCGGAAUUACUGGGCGUAAAGCGCGCGUAGGUGGUUUGUUAAGUUGGAUGUGAAAUCCCCGGGCUCAACCUGGGAACUGCAUCCAAAACUGGCAAGCUAGAGUAUGGUAGAGGGUGGUGGAAUUUCCUGUGUAGCGGUGAAAUGCGUAGAUAUAGGAAGGAACACCAGUGGCGAAGGCGACCACCUGGACUGAUACUGACACUGAGGUGCGAAAGCGUGGGGAGCAAACAGGAUUAGAUACCCGCGUAGUCCCUGUCUCUUAUAC